rnacentral:siRNA from 1 species
UAGACCUCAUGUACACUUGCCUC